UCAUUUGAUGUUUGAGUGCUUG
rnacentral:siRNA from 1 species